ensembl:lncRNA
CCGUGACCCCGUGGACGCCGCACAGAACCUCCCCAGGGGGCGGGGGAGACGGGAAGAGGGCCCCCAGGCAGUUUCUCCUCUGGCCGGCGAGACUGGCAGGAAGGGGUGGGAACAGGGAACGGUGACUUCUCAAGCGAGCGCUCAGCGUGGCUUAGAACGGGAAAGCCCUGCUCAUCUCUUUAUCCUCUCCCAAGGUUUAGCAGUGUAUUAAGCACUUACUGGGCGCCGGGCACUGGGCUGACCCUCUCAAGUGGAGCGUGGUGGCCUAAGACCAUGGGCCGUACCUCCAGAGCGUCUGACCUUGUAUAAGUUACUUAACCUCUUUCUUCGUGUGUAGAAUGGGACUGAAGCAGAACCUGUCUGAACCACUGGAGGUCUAGAGUAAUAUGUGAAGUGCUCGGAAUAGCACACGGCACACAGAAAUCCCGUGGACAGAGGAGCCUGGCGGGCUGCAGCCCAGGGAGCCGCACAGAGUUGGACAUGACUGAGUGACUCACACUUUCACAUUCAUCUCUGGAGGGGCGUCACUCUGCUUGCCACAAACCUGGAAUCCAGGCCCAACCCAGCCUCUGGAGCUUCCCAGGCGAGUACCCUAGGCUGCAGGAUCUAUAAUGCGAGGUGGCCCGGCGUGGUGGUAGGGAGUGUGGGGAGCCUGGGUCUCUCAUGCAAUCCUGGGGUCUUCAUGUAAGGAGGCCCCAAGGAAGGAGGCGGGCCAGGCUUGGACAUGGGGUCUGGAGGCCCUCAGAGCACUACCCCAGCUGGCAGAGGAAAGGUGGGCCCCAAGCUGCCAGUUUCUAACAGAAGCUGGAAACCCUGGUUUUUAUGUGAAAUCUCCAGUUUUUAAGUGUUGACAAAUGAUUCAAAAUUAUGAAAAAAAAAACAAAACCUUACACACACAGCACACACACCCACACUGUAUAUGAGGUUGCGUAGAACACAUCUGAGGCCAGGUGAGGCCCACAGGCGGUGAGCUCCUGACGGCCGGCCUGCCUGGGAGAGAGCAGAGGUGAGGGCGUGCCGCGGGCAGCGGGUGCUGGACAGUCCACGGAGGAGCCUGGAGGAGGCCGAACCGCUUCCCUGGCUCCACUAGGUGGGGGCAGCCUGGACAGGGAGUGGUCGAGAAGGGGCUGGGAGGCUUCGAGGAGAUGGAGAAGCAGAGGGAAGUCACACUGUGGCCGGAUCAGUCCAGCCCCAACCCCAGCGGUGACCCCAGAGGUGACCCCAGGUGGGCAGGCUGCUGUGUGGUCUUGGACAAGUUCCCUGGCCUCUCUGCCUUCCUUUCCUCUUGUGUCCAGUUCCACGCAUUCUGUGAGCAAACCCCCGAUUUGUGCCAGGCACUGUCCGGGUCAUGGAGCGGCAUGAAGCAGGGCAAGCUCCUGCCUCCAGUGGCCAUGGCCGAGCUGGUGGCGUGGAACGGGGCCUGGGCUUAAUCACCAAGUGAGAACCGGACAGAGGAACAACGGCAACAUUCCUGCAGGCGAUAAGCAACAGAUCUCAUUAUUCCCCUGGCAGAGGGGGAAACUGAGGCACCCCGAGGGAAAGUCACUCUUCAGAGGUCACUCAAGCUUCUGACUCCCCGGUCUAGGUUCUCAAGCCACAUCCCUCCUUGGCGUCUGUAGGUCCACCAAGAAAAACGACGUGAGCAUAAAGGGGGCCGACAGCAGGCAUCCGAGCUCCAAUGUCCCCUGAGUCUCUCUGCUGUGCCAGCCCUGAGUUCAGGGGCUACGAACUCCAGUGACUUCAGGGCCCAGAGAAGACACACAGAUGAUGAAGGCGGCUGGGGUGGGGGGCAGCGUGGGCCGGGGGAGGCAGCAGCAGGGAGUGAGGGGGACGCGGUGAACAAGAAAGCCCUGGAGUUUCAACUCUGCGCCAGCCCACGGCUGCCUCAGGAAAAUGAGGGUCUCGUACUUUUAAGGUUUUCAGGCAGAAACCCAGACAUUUUAUGUGAAAUCUGUGUAUUUUUUUUAACAGAGUGGAAGAUGAGAGUCUUUUUAUUUUAGUGAUAAAUGGAAUAAAUCGAUAAUGUGCUAUGCUGGCAUCCUGGAUUUGAUAUUCCAUUUCCCCAGAAGAAAACACAGUUGGUCCAGGAGUAUCUACUGAGGCCCGCUAAAGCCAGGCGCUGCUCAAGGAGCUGUGAAUGCGGUUCCAGCUUUGUGGUGUUUAUGCUCUAGUGGGAAACACAGGUCGUGAAUCCAGAAACAGAUGGAAAACCAAGGUACCCCCCCGUGAUGACAGAACCCUGAUUUUAUUGGGAUGGCAGUCAGCCAGCUAAAAGCUCUCAGCCUCCUGAAGUCCCUGUGACAGCCGGGAGCGGCUAUGUGAUCCAGUGUGGAUACGAGCUAGAGAGAAUGGCCAUCUUGCAACCACGACCAACCGUGAGGACAAGAAGGCCAAGUGAAGAAACAGGAAGAACCUGGUGCCCUGGUGGCAUCACCGAGGCACCCUAGCAGCCCAAGACGCUUACUGUUGGGCUUAGUAACAGGAGAUGAUAGAACUUACCAGUGGUGAGAUUCUUGCAGCUGAAUGCAUGCCUGCUGGAUCCACUCCCCUGCCUCUGGAUUUCUAAACUCAUGAGAAAAUACAUUUCCUUAAUGAUUAAGCAUUUUGCACCGGGUUUCCUGUCCUUGCAGUUGAAUGCAUCCUAGAGUAUCCUGCAUUUUGCAGUGAGGUGACUUCUGAUAAAUGAGAUAUGCCUGAUCUUGGACUUGACCGACAUGGGUGUUGGGGGCAGGGAUCCCGCCCACGCCUGCUGGAGAAUCAGAGGGUCAAAGAGAAGACUUCUGAUAUCCAGCGCAUCUUUCUGCCAGAACCAAAAAGACUAAGGCCUCAGGGUUUACUUCGGCUUCAGAUUAUCUGUGAAGAGUUCUUACUGAUUUGUCAGUUUGCUUAUUUGUUUUUGAAGGAAGAAAGCUAAGGUUCAAGGAGACAAAUUUAUCACCUAAGGCUCUCAGCCAGAGCGAGGUCUGCUGGUUUCUGGGAUCAUCUUCUUUUUCCUCCUCCUCUCUGGACCCAUGUCUUCCCAUCAGUAGGAUGAGAUUAACUCAAGAUCAAAGCUUUUCAAACGUUUCAUUUCAAAGUGGGCAAAACCCUUUUACAGCUGAACUCUUACUUGUUGUCCCACUCAUAAAAAAAGACAAAAGCAGCUGCUUGUCGUGGGGCGGGUCAGGAGCCUGCAGCCUCCUCCCCGGGGCCUGGGUCCACUGGCGUCUCACUGCCGCCCCGGGGUUGCAGCGGGCUUUCAGCAGACAGCAGCCCAGAUUGUCCCGAGGCCUGCAGGAAAGCCUGAGUCCAAGAGGGGAGUCUCCGAUCUUUCAAACAGUGCGAACAUGUAUCGUGGAAGACAGUCACGCACACAGCGAAACAAAACCAAAACCAAAAACUUUCGAACAGUGCAAACGGGACGAAAAGUCACCUUCCUCUCGUCUCUGACUUGCCACUCUUCCCCCAAAACACAGGGCCUUGUCCUCUGAGAGAUGGUCUGUAUGUCUCCCAAGAGAUGUAUGUACACAUACUGUCCCAUCUUGCCUUACACACACACGCACACACACACACACACACACACACUCUAGCAUCUUGUAAUCACUUUGUAUCUUUUCUCAGUUAAUGUUGCAUCUUGGCAGUUUUUCCAAAUCCGUACUCAGAGGUCUGCUUCAUUCACUUCAGUGGUUACCUGAUACUGGAAUACUAUUUAAUUUAAAAUACCCUUAUUCUUGACUAAGACGUACGAACUACUGUGAAAGUGAAAGUGCGGGUCUCUCCGUCCUGUGUGGUUCUCGGCGACCCCACGGACCGUAGCCCGCCCGGCUCCUCUGUCCUUGGAAUUCUCCAGGCAAGAUACUGGCGUGAGUUGCCAUUUCCUCUUCCAGGGGAUUUUCCUUACCCAGAGAUCGAAUCCGGGACUCUUGCAUUGCAGGCUGAUUGUUUGCCAUCUGAUCCACCAGGGAAGCCCUACAAACCACUACGAAUAGAAUAAAUAAGAUAUAAGGAUAUACUGUACAGCCAGGGAAUAUAGACAGUAUUCUAUAACAACUUUAAGUGGAGUAUAAUGUACAGAAAUAUUGAGUCUCUACACUGUAUACCUGAAACUAAUGUAAUAUUGUACACCAACCAUACCUUAAUUAAAACAAAAAUAAGAAAAGGAAAAAACAAAGAAAUGGGAUACUAAAAACAAACGAAACUUUCCUCUUCUUGGAUACUCAGGUUGCUUCCAGUCUUUUACUGUGUUAAAGAAUCCUGCAAUUUAGGUGGGAGGUGGGAGGAAGGUUCAAAAAGGCGGUGACAUAUGUAUACCUAUGGCGGACUUAUGUUGAUGUGUGGCAGAAACCAACACACUAUUGUAAAGGAAUCAUCCUUCAAAUAAAAAUCAAUACAUUAAAAAAAGAAGAAGCUUGCAAUGAGAUCUUUAGUUCUUUAUGUGCCCC